rnacentral:rRNA from 1 species
UACGUAGGGGGCAAGCGUUAUCCGGAUUUACUGGGUGUAAAGGGAGCGUAGACGGCAGGGCAAGUCUGGAGUGAAAGCCCGGGGCCCAACCCCGGGACUGCUUUGGAAACUGCCAUGCUGGAGUGCUGGAGAGGUAAGCGGAAUUCCUAGUGUAGCGGUGAAAUGCGUAGAUAUUAGGAGGAACACCAGCGGCGAAGGCGGCUUACUGGACAGUAACUGACGUUGAGGCUCGAAAGCGUGGGGAGCAAACAGG